AUGGCUCUGCGCUACCUUAUGGCCGUGGGCCUCAACAAGGGCCACAAGGUGACCAAGAACGUGAGCAAGCCCAGGCACAGCCGCCGCCGCGGGCGUCUGAGCAAACGCACCAAGUUUGUAGCGGGACAUGAUCCGGGAGGUGUGUGGCUUCGCUUCGUACGAGCUGCGCGCCAUGGAGUCACUGAAGGUCUUCAAGGAGAAAUGGGCCCUCAAGUUCAUCAAGAAAAGGGUGGGGACGCACAUCCGUGCCAAGAGGAAGCGGGAGGAGCUGAGCAAGGUACUGGCUGCCAUGAGGAAAGCCGCUGCCAAGAAAGACUGA
rnacentral:lncRNA from 1 species